rnacentral:rRNA from 1 species
UACGGAGGAUCCAAGCGUUAUCCGGAUUUAUUGGGUUUAAAGGGUGCGUAGGCGGGUUAUUAAGUCAGAGGUGAAAUUUUGCAGCUUAACUGUAAGCUUGCCUUUGAUACUGAUGAUCUUGAAUUAACUUGAGGUAGGCGGAAUGUGACAAGUAGCGGUGAAAUGCAUAGAUAUGUCACAGAACACCAAUUGCGAAGGCAGCUUACUAAGGUUAGAUUGACGCUGAGGCACGAAAGCGUGGGGAUCAAACAGG